rnacentral:rRNA from 1 species
AUUGAACGCUGGCGGCAUGCCUUACACAUGCAAGUCGAACGGUAACAGGUCCUCGGAUGCAGACGAGUGGCGAACGGGUGAGUAAUACAUCGGAACGUGCCUAGUAGUGGGGGAUAACUACUCGAAAGAGUGGCUAAUACCGCAUGAGAUCUACGGAUGAAAGCAGGGGAUCGCGAGACCUUGUGCUACUAGAGCGGCCGAUGGCAGAUUAGGUAGUUGGUGGGAUAAAAGCUUACCAAGCCGACGAUCUGUAGCUGGUCUGAGAGGACGAUCAGCCACACUGGGACUGAGACACGGCCCAGACUCCUACGGGAGGCAGCAGUGGGGAAUUUUGGACAAUGGGCGAAAGCCUGAUCCAGCAAUGCCGCGUGCAGGAUGAAGGCCUUCGGGUUGUAAACUGCUUUUGUACGGAACGAAAAGCCCCGGGUUAAUACCCGGGGGUCAUGACGGUACCGUAAGAAUAAGCACCGGCUAACUACGUGCCAGCCGCCGCCGUAA